CUUUCAACAACGGAUCUCUUGGUUCCAGCAUCGAUGAAGAACGCAGCGAAAUGCGAUAAGUAAUGUGAAUUUGCAGAAUUCAGUGAAUCAUCGAAUCUUUGAACGCACAUUGCGCCCCUCGG
rnacentral:rRNA from 1 species